UUGCAGCUGAAGAGUCCUAAAUAGAAUGAAACACGAGUCCUGGAU
rnacentral:hammerhead_ribozyme from 1 species